rnacentral:rRNA from 1 species
CACGUAGGGCGCAAGCGUUGUCCGGAAUUAUUGGGCGUAAAGCGCGCGUAGGCGGUUGCCUAAGUCGGACGUGAAAGCCCUCGGCUUAACCGAGGAAGUGCAUCCGAAACUGAGCAGCUAGAGUACGAAAGAGGGUCGCGGAAUUCCCGGUGUAGAGGUGAAAUUCGUAGAUAUCGGGAGGAACACCGGCGGCGAAGGCGGCGACCUGGGUCGAGACUGACGCUGAGGCGCGAAAGCGUGGGGAGCAAACAGG